rnacentral:rRNA from 1 species
UGGAUUAAUUCGAUGCAACGCGAAAACCUUACCUACCCUUUGACAUGUCCGGAAUCCCGAAGAGAUUUGGGAGUGCUCGCAAGAGAGCCGGAACACAGGUGCUGCAUGGCUGUCGUCAGCUCGUGUCGUGAGAUGUUGGGUUAAGUCCCGCAACGAGCGCAACCCUUGUCAUUAGUUGCCAUCAUUUGGUUGGGCACUCUAAUGAGACUGCCGGUGACAAACCGGAGGAAGGUGGGAUGACGUCAAAUCAUCAUGCCCCUUAUGACCUGGGCUACACACGUGCUACAAUGGUUGGUACAACGAGUUGCGAGUCGGUGACGGCGAGCUAAUCUCUUAAAGCCAAUCUCAGUUCGGAUUGUAGGCUGCAACUCGCCUACAUGAAGUCGGAAUCGCUAGUAAUCGCGGAUCAGCACGCCGCGGUGAAUACGUUCCCGGGCCUU